GACGGAGGGUGCUAGCGUUGUUCGGAAUGACUGGGCGUAAAGGGCGCGUAGGCGGCCGCUUGCGUCGGAUGUGAAAGCCCCGGGGCUCAACCCCGGAACGGCAUCCGAUACGGGGCGGCUCGAGACCGAGAGAGGUGAGUGGAAUACCCAGUGUAGAGGUGAAAUUCGUAGAUAUUGGGUGGAACACCGGUGGCGAAAGCGGCUCACUGGCUCGGUUCUGACGCUGAGGCGCGAAAGCGUGGGGAGCAAACAGG
rnacentral:rRNA from 1 species